UGACCUGCUGGUGCUAUCUGGGUGUGGCAAGGGGCCUAAGCCAGCUAGGGAGACACCUCAGAGAGCCUCUUUUUAUGCCCACAUUGAAAGCACUGCAUUUGAUAAUGAUCGUAAGGACUGAUUAAAUUGCCUGAGAAUUUUUGCUUAGGAGCUUCCCCAACCCUAUUCUGCCUGGCUUCCUGCUUCAGAUUUAAAGCAGGAACAGCAAUAUUCUCAGAAGAACCAACAAAAUGCAAAUAGAACACUGAAAACACCACAUGAUCUCACACUAAGGCAACCUAUCAUGCGCUUGGCUUAACACGCACCCCCGCUUCGAGGUGAGUCGGGGCCUUGGACUCAUCCAGACUCCAAUCAUCAGCAUCCAGUGGUCAAAAGACACAAGUCCAGAUGUGGGAGAUUUAGCUCUCUGUCUGAGUCCCACAGCGGUCUACCCGUUCUAGGGUUAUUGUAAUUGAAAAUAUGAACAACCACCAGCAGCCCAUUGUGGACCUUCCAGGGACCCUCUGCAGGCCCCAUCACAGGCACAGAGGUGAAAAAUCUACCUUUUAUUGGACGCAAGUGGUCAGGAGUCAGAACCAAACUUUUACGUCUCCACUGAAAGUUGGCAACUCCAGCAGCACAUUCUCCCUAAACACUAUAGCCAGGCACCAGUUCAAUUCUGCCUCCGAGAAGAGAGUGCCCUCAGCUGAAUUACAAGCAGCAUUUACUAUAGUGUGCAGGAUUUCCCUAGCUGUUGCUCAUCCAAGCUCUGGCACAGCUUCCCCUACUUAAUUUAUGAAAGCUGAUGAGAUCACAGCUUGAGAUUGUAUGGCUACAGGCUAUAA